rnacentral:tRNA from 1 species
GGCCCGUUCGUCUAGGCGGAUCAGGGCGCCGGUUCCUCAGGCCGGAUACGGCGGUUCGAAUCCGCCACGGGCCACCA